UACGAGGGGGGCGAGCGUUGUUCGGAAUUAUUGGGCGUAAAGGGUGCGUAGGCGGUUUGUUAAGUCGGGUGUGAAAUCCCUGGGCUCAACCCAGGAAGUGCACUCGAAACUGGCAGACUUGAGUACUGAAGAGGGUCGCGGAAUUCCCGGUGUAGAGGUGAAAUUCGUAGAUAUCGGGAGGAACACCAGUGGCGAAGGCGGCGACCUGGGCAGAUACUGACACUGAGGUGCGAAAGCGUGGGGAGCAAACAGG
rnacentral:rRNA from 1 species